UGCUAAAGAAGCAGCAGAUGUGAUUGUAAAUUCAACAACAAAGACAUUUGAUCACAAAGCAGGGGUCUCCAAAGCAAUUUUGGAAAAGGCUGGACAAAAUGUGGAAAUAGAAUGUUCUCGCCUAGCUCAACAAAAC